GGUGCGCCUAUGAUGAGUGUUUCAACCUGUGUCAGGAUUUGAACCACUGGGCAAAUAAAUCUCACUAGGGUUUUUUUUUUCUUCUCUCACUAGGGUUUUUUUUUUUCUUCUGAGGCAUAUU
rfam:Oryza rufipogon genomic scaffold, chr10